rnacentral:rRNA from 1 species
UAGGGAAUCUUCCACAAUGGACGAAAGUCUGAUGGAGCAACGCCGCGUGAACGAUGAAGGCUUUCGGGUCGUAAAGUUCUGUUGUAAGGGAAGAACAAGUGCCGCAGGCAAUGGCGGCACCUUGACGGUACCUUGCGAGAAAGCCACGGCUAACUACGUGCCAGCAGCCGCGGUAAUACGUAGGUGGCAAGCGUUGUCCGGAAUUAUUGGGCGUAAAGCGCGCGCAGGCGGCCUCUUAAGUCUGAUGUGAAAGCCCCCGGCUCAACCGGGGAGGGCCAUUGGAAACUGGGAGGCUUGAGUAUAGGAGAGAAGAGUGGAAUUCCACGUGUAGCGGUGAAAUGCGUAGAGAUGUGGAGGAACACCAGUGGCGAAGGCGACUCUUUGGCCUAUAACUGACGCUGAGGCGCGAAAGCGUGGGGAGCAAACAGGAUUAGAUACCCUGGUAGUCCACGCCGUAAACGAUGAGU